rnacentral:rRNA from 1 species
CGGACAUCAGGAGGUUAGUGCAAUGGCAUAAGCCAGCUUGACUGCGAGCGUGACGGCGCGAGCAGGUGCGAAAGCAGGUCAUAGUGAUCCGGUGGUUCUGAAUGGAAGGGCCAUCGCUCAACGGAUAAAAGGUACUCCGGGGAUAACAGGCUGAUACCGCCCAAGAGUUCAUAUCGACGGCGGUGUUUGGCACCUCGAUGUCGGCUCAUCACAUCCUGGGGCUGAAGUAGGUCCCAAGGGUAUGGCUGUUCGCCAUUUAAAGUGGUACGCGAGCUGGGUUUAGAACGUCGUGAGACAGUUCGGUCCCUAUCUGCCGUGGGCGCUGGAGAACUGAGGGGGGCUGCUCCUAGUACGAGAGGACCGGAGUGGACGCAUCACUGGUGUUCGGGUUGUCAUGCCAAUGGCACUGCCCGGUAGCUAAAUGCGGAAGAGAUAAGUGCUGAAAGCAUCUAAGCACGAAACUUGCCCCG